rnacentral:lncRNA from 1 species
AAGCACUCACUCGUAUCAGCAGCUGUAAUACAUAAGUUAAUCUAACCAACACUGGUGGAGCAAUGACAGUGGGAUCACACCAAGUCAGAUGACUUUAAAAUAAUAGUAGUAGUACUAAAAAUAGUUGUCGUGGUAAUAGUAGUAGUAUUGGUAGCAAACCAUGACAAGAGCGUGAGCCACCCCCAUACGCACUACCUCCUCGACAAACGAUAACAAGGCGCUUUUUAUUUUAUUUAUUUAUUACUAAGGACACUUCGUUAAAAAGAAAGAAAAAAAGAUAUAAACACGCCCGCUUGCCCGUCCCGUUGCACACACGGAUGUAUAUAGAAUAUAAUUUAUAAUUAUAGUUUAUAAAAGAAAACCAAGCUACACAUAUAUACAAACACAUCACAUAUAUUUAUAUAAAUAAUUAGAUAUAUAAUCCUAUGUAUAUUUUACGCCCAGAAAUAUAUAAUUGUUUUAUAGAAAGAAAGCAAUACUCAAAGAAAAAUCUCAUAAAAUUUUCCCUUGUCCCCUGUGAAAAAAAAAAAAGGAUUAGGGGUCACAUCCUGUAACUUCUGUGUCUUAUCCGGGUGAGGAGUGAGAAUAUGUGAUUAUCUCCCUUGCCUCACAUUCGCUUUAAACGCGAAACCUCCCCUUCUUCCCCCACCUCCUCCUGCUACCAUCAUUGGGGAAAAAAAGAAGAAAAUAUACAAAACAAGCAACAGAGCACGAAACGAAACGAAACAAGGAAAAAAAAACAUCAGAUUUGUUUAUUCCUUAUUUCUGAGAGAGGGUUUACCGUAAAACAGCUGCAAUUUGGAGACUCAAGAAUAAACUCCUGAGGGCCAGGGUGAGUAGAUAACAAUAUAUAUGUUAUUAUGAAUGUAUGGCAUGUGUAAUAAUUAUAAUAAUUAGUGUUAUAAUGCGCCUAUAAAGAUAGCUUUGGAGAGAGACAACGAGAACAACAACAACAACAGUAGAAGACGACGAGAAAGAAAACGAAAGCUCUCGCAUGAAUAGUGUUUUCGCGCGCGCGCACAUACAGACUGACACACACAAACACACAUAUAUAUUACUCUGUGUAUAUGUAUAUAUAUACACACACACGUAUAUUUAUAUAUGCAUAUAUAUACAUAUAUAUAUUAGUAUUGGAAAAGUGGGGGAUCGAUUUACAUAUCGUCUUUACCUAGCUUUGAUCCCCCACUUCUUGGCACAUCUGAUAGAUUAGUUUUCUUCUAUCACAUUUCCUUUCCCCACCUCGUUUUUAUUAUUUCUUUGUUUUGUUUUUUUUUGUUACUGUUACCAUUUUUCCUCUCUUCCUAUGCUACAAUAUCUCAUUUCCCUUUUCUCUUUUAUUUCUCGUCUUCUAUCUUUCCCCUUGUCCGAUCCCUUUUCUCUCCAUCCUAAUCUUUUUCCACUCCAAUUACCACUUUUUCCUUGUGUUUGUUCGUUGCUAACAGACACCGCCUAAGUAAUUGCUAGCUGUGUGUUGUUAUUUUUGUCUAUUCUAUGCUCCCCACCAUCUACCACUUUACAUUCACUUCUAAUGAUAAUCAUAAAAUACUAUAAUGUAUGUAUAUGUAUGUGUGUCCGUAUAUAUAUGUACCUGUAAUGGAUUCCCUCAUAAUUCAAAGCCUAUGUCUCUAAUAAUGUCUUCAUGAUGCCGGUUUUCAGUUGAAGAUAUUGACGGUAAUCUAAUGAAGACCUUUCAUUCUCUUUAUUGCUAUAUCACCCUAUAUUUUUUUCAAAUCCAAUCUCGUUAUUUGUCCUUCUCUCUAUCCAAUCUAUUCAUGUAGCAAUUAAGCUCUUACCCGUCUACGGUCUGUCUAUCCUUCUGUCUACCUGUUCGGUUGUUCAUUUCACUAGCAAACUGACCAUCCAUCUAUCACUCGAAAUCACUCUUCCUUCGUUUCCCCCAUAUAUUUAGCUCGCAUUAUAACUAUACGUGUAUCGAAGUAGCAAUCUAGCUAGUCAUCUAUUUACCUAUUUAGCUAUCUGUCUGGUUAUCUAUUUUGUUCGCUAUGUGUCUAUUUAGCUAGCUUCCUAUCUGCCUAUUUAGCCUAUCUGCCUAUCUUACUUAACCAGCUAUUUAUCUACCAUGUAUUUAUAUAUUUAUUUAUCUGUUGUCUGUAUGUCAGUUUAUUUAGCUUUCUCUAUUUAGCAAUCUUCCUACGUAUUUCAAUGCCCGCCUGCACACACACACACACACACACAUAUAUAUAAGUGGAUAUCUAUUUCUUUGUGUGUGUGUGUGUAUGUAUUAAAGUAAUGAUUUCCGUUGGUUAGGUAAUAUAUUAAAUUCGUUUAAGGAUCUAGGUGAGUCGAUUGAAUCCACCCUUGCUUAUUACUUUCAGUGGUUAACGAUGAUAAUCAUCAGAUCAGCAACAAUACGAUCUAUAUUUCACGCCAACGAACACCAGUCAUUACGUCCAAUCGACUUAAUGUUAGAUGUGGGUGAGGGCACUGUGCGAGCUGGCCAUUUCUCAGAGAAACUGUAAACACACAUACACACACACACCUACCUAUCUGUCUGUCUGUACAUGUGUGUGUGUGUGUGUGUGCAUGUAUAUAUAUAUAUGUGAAUAUAAACGUAUGCAUAUGGAUGUGUGUGUACAGGCAUGGUUGUGGACGUUUCCCAACCACAUGGUUUCGGGUUCAUUCCCCCCCCCCCGCUCCACUUCUACAACAACCUCGGUCCAAUCAAAGCCUUGUGAGUGGAUUUGAUAGAAACUAAAAGAAGCCUGAUGUGUAUAUAUAUAUUUAUAUAUAUGAAUGUGUGUAUGCUUGUUGUGUCAAAUAUCUUGGCAUAGUGUGAUAGUUUUAUACAAGCUGUCAUUCAUUUCCAAUAUUCUGCGAAAACAUGUUGAGCAUUGGAAAAUAUACAUAACCUUACUUGGAAACAGGUUAGGUUUGGCAGCAGGAAAGGCAUCCAGCUGUAGAAAACCUACCUCAAUAAACUGCAUUCUGUCCUUGCCUGCAUGGGAAAGUGGAUGCUAAAACGAUUAUAAUAUAGAUGUGUAUAUAUGUGUAUUUAUGUAUAUAUUAUGUGUUUAUAUGCAUGUUUGUGCGUGUGUAUAUCGGUAUGUAUAUAUUUGUACUAUAUACAUUAUAUAUGUAUAUAUAUGUGUGUGUAUGUGUAUAUAUAUAUCUUGAUAUGUAUGGAUAUGAGUAUAUAUAAAUAGUUGUAAGAUCUCAAGAUUUUUACCACUACUUUUUAGUGUGUGUGUGUGUGUGUGUGUGUAUAUAUAUAUACACACACACACAUGCAUACACGCAAACUUGUCCAUGCUUGCAUAGAUCAGGUGGAAUUGAUGAAGCAGACUUCUCCAUGGCUAGAUGCCCUUCCUCUGGCCAACUCUCGCCUAUUUCUAAGCAACAGGACAUAUUUUC